AUUAGAGACGAGUCCCAAGUAGGACGAAACGCGCGUCCUGAAU
rnacentral:hammerhead_ribozyme from 1 species